UACGAAGGGGGCUAGCGUUGCUCGGAAUCACUGGGCGUAAAGGGUGCGUAGGCGGGUCUUUAAGUCAGGGGUGAAAUCCUGGAGCUCAACUCCAGAACUGCCUUUGAUACUGAAGAUCUUGAGUUCGGGAGAGGUGAGUGGAACCGCGAGUGUAGAGGUGAAAUUCGUAGAUAUUCGCAAGAACACCAGUGGCGAAGGCGGCGACCUGGUCCGAUACUGACGCUGAGGCGCGAAAGCGUGGGGAGCAAACAGG
rnacentral:rRNA from 1 species